CAGUCGCCGCGGUAAUACGUAGGGUGCAAGCGUUAAUCGGAAUUACUGGGCGUAAAGCGUGCGCAGGCGGUUAUAUAAGACAGAUGUGAAAUCCCCGGGCUCAACCUGGGAACUGCAUUUGUGACUGUAUAGCUAGAGUACGGCAGAGGGGGAUGGAAUUCCGCGUGUAGCAGUGAAAUGCGUAGAUAUGCGGAGGAACACCGAUGGCGAAGGCAAUCCCCUGGGCCUGUACUGACGCUCAUGCACGAAAGCGUGGGGAGCAAACAGGAUUAGAUACCCGAGUAGUCCCUGUCUCUUAUAA
rnacentral:rRNA from 1 species